UACGUAGGGUCCGAGCGUUGUCCGGAAUUAUUGGGCGUAAAGAGCUCGUAGGCGGUUUGUCGCGUCUGCCGUGAAAGUCCGGGGCUCAACUCCGGAUCUGCGGUGGGUACGGGCAGACUAGAGUGAUGUAGGGGAGACUGGAAUUCCUGGUGUAGCGGUGAAAUGCGCAGAUAUCAGGAGGAACACCGGUGGCGAAGGCGGGUCUCUGGGCCGAAACUGACGCUGAGGAGCGAAAGCGUGGGGAGCGAACAGG
rnacentral:rRNA from 1 species